ensembl:rRNA 5S_rRNA 5S ribosomal RNA
GUUGGCAUCAAAAAGACAAGAGACGUGCCCAAUCUCAUCUGAUCUCAGAAGCUAAGCAGGGUCAGACCUGGUCAGUACCUGGAUGAGAGACCACCCAGGAAUAUCAGGUGCUAUAGGCG